rnacentral:rRNA from 1 species
UACGGAGGGGACGAGCGUUGUCCGAAGUUACUGGGCGUAAAGCGCGCGUAGGCGGGUUGGCAAGUCUGCUGUGAAAGCCCGGGGCUUAACCCCGGAGGGUCGGUGGAUACUGCCAGUCUUGAAGGUGCUAGGGGGAGAUGGAAUUACCGGUGUAGCGGUGAAAUGCGUAGAUAUCGGUAGGAACACCAGUGGCGAAGGCGGUCUCCUGGGGCACUCUUGACGUGAGGCGCGAAAGCUGGGGGAGCGAACGGG